GGAGGAGUUCCGGUGUGAGCACUUCCGCGGGCAGUUGAAAAGAGCUGGUUUGCAUGCAGUCUUCUCUGUGUGUUUUCUGGUUUGCGGAGUUUGUUGUGGCGCGGGCGGUAGGUUGAAGAAGGAAGAUUAGCCCUGAGCUAACAUCUGCCGCCAAUUCUCCUCUUUUUGCUGAGGAAGACUGGCCCUGAGCCAACAUCUGUGCCCAUCUUCCUCUACUUUAUAUGUGGGGCGCCUACCACAGCAUGGCUUGCCAAGCAGUGCCAUGUCCACACCAGGGAUGAGAACCAGUGAACCCCGGCCACUGAAGCGGAAUGUGCGAACUUAACUGCUGUGCCACCGGGCCGGCCCCAGCCAAUGUUAAUUAUUGAUGUAAUUGUGUCCGUCUUAAUGAGAUUUGGUAUUUUAGCAUGGGGGGCAUCAGUUUUGGGACUCAGGGAACAUAUAAAAUGUUUUCCCACUGAAAUUAACGGUGAUUACGUUUUUGACUUACAUUGGCCCCACAUGAGGUUUUUCAGGAUUAAUUACCCUAGGAAGGCAGAAGAGGACUGUCCUGCAGUUACUGUACCUUUUACUGUCAUGGAAAAUUAAAAUGUAACAAGAAGAUUAAUGUUUCUUCUUCUGAGAUCAAGGUAUAGCCUCAGGAGCCUCUGUUAGCAUGUGUAAAGCCUCUGCUAAGUAAAUGGUGCUAACUUGUGUAAAAGAAAGAAUGUGACAGUCCAGGGGGUGCCUGAAAGGAGGUAUAUCAAGUCAACACAUUCCUGAGGCGACCUCGCUGCUGUGGAGAUGGAUACACCAGGAAUGUUAUCUGCAGUCUGGUUGGGCUUCCGGUGUGUGUUCCUACAGAGGGUGAUAUGCCCAUGACUCCUAGGUCCUUUCUUUCACAGAACUGUUCGUAUUUGUGGUGUUGUAGUUUGCAUUUUAAAGCAGUCAAUUGCCAUUUGGUAUCUGAUGUCAUGAGUUAUAUGAUGUGUCAGCCUCCCCCAGCCAGUCAACCCUGAGGAACUGCCAGCACCUAGUUCCUGAGGCCCAAAGCUGAAAUUUGAGAAUGUCUUCAAGGUAAUGAGGGCCGCUGGCCUAUGGCAGCCAGCAUUCCUCUGCAGGUAGAUGCUCUCUUGCCCUUUCAAUUUUUUUGCUCACAUUCCCUUUCAACUUGCUCUCACCACAAAGGUCCUUUCCAUUCCUGUGACUCUGGGAUUUGCCAACAUCCUGAUGAAGUGCACCAUGUUGUUCUUCACUCACCUGGGAAUGGAAGUAGUCAGAACUUUAAGGCAAGUAAAAAGGCCAAUCCCAAAGUGACUCAUUGGUUUUUUGGGGGGGGUUUUUGUUUGUUUGGUGAGGAAGACUGGUCCUGAGCUAACAUCUGUUGCCAAUCUUCCACUUUUUGCUUGAGGAAGAUUGUCCUUGAGCUAACAUCUGUGCCCAUCUUCCUCUAUUUUGUAUAUGGGACAUUGCCACAGCAUGGCUUGAUGAGUGGUGUGUAGGUCUGCACCUGGGAUCCAAACUCGCGAACCCUGGGCCACUGAAGUGGAGCGUGCAAACUUAACCACUACACCACUGGGCCAGGCCCCCCGAGUAACUCAUCUUUGAAAACAUUGGAUCAUGUCACUCUCCUUGAUACUUAAUUGAAAGCUGUCUUUGCACAGCUCCAUCCAGAUUUCUGUGGUGGCCCCAGCACUCAGCAGUCCCACAGCCUGUCAGAGCAAAAGGGAAUAGGAGGCAGUUCAAGCCAUCUGUCCUAGAACAAGACAUCUGGUUACAGGUCUGGGCCUCUAGUCGGGGCUCUUUGGGAGCCAUCUGGCCCCCCCGUCUGACAGAGCUGUUAUAAACAAGAUGCUGUCAAGUACUGUUAAGACUUAGGAG
ensembl:lncRNA